rnacentral:rRNA from 1 species
GACGAACGCUGGCGGCGUGCUUAACACAUGCAAGUCGAACGGACAGGCCCUGCUCUUGUGGGUUGCUCGAGAGGCGAACGGGUGAGUAAAACGUGAGUAACCUGCACUUGACUUUGGGGUAACUUCAGGAAACUGCGGCUAAUACCGGAUAGGAUCUCCUGCUGCAUGGUGGGGGUAGGAAAGUUUCGGCGGUUGGGGAUGGACUGGCGGCUUAUGAGCUUGUUGGUGGAGUAGUGGCGUACGAAGGCUAUGAAGGGUAGCCCGCCUGAGAGGGUGACCGGCCUCCAUGGGCCUGAGGUAGGGCCCAGACUGCUACGGGAGGCAGCAGUGGGGAACAUUGCACAAUGGGCGGAAGCCUGAUGCAGCAACGUCGCGUUCGUAAUGACGGCCUACGGGGUGUAAACCGCUUUCGCCGGUGACGAGGCGUGCGUGACGGUAAUGGGUAAAGAAGCACCGGCUAACUACGUG